GUCCACACCCUAACGUUGGAUGCUGGGUUUGCGGGUAUCGACCCCUGCGAGCCGAAGCUAACGCGUUAAGCAUCCCGCCUGGGGACUACGGCCGCAAGGCUAAACUCAAAGGAAUUGACGGGGCCCGCACAAGCAGCGGAGCGUGUGGUUUAAUUCGAUGCAAACGAAGAACCUUACCUGGGCUUGACAUGCAAGUGGUACUGAACCGAAAGGCAAGGGACCCGCAAGGGAGCUUGCACAGGUGCUGCAUGGUUGUCGU
rnacentral:rRNA from 1 species